rnacentral:rRNA from 1 species
AUUGAACGCUGGCGGCAGGCCUAACACAUGCAAGUCGAACGAGUGGCGGACGGGUGAGUAAUGUCUGGGAAACUGCCUGAUGGAGGGGGAUAAUUACUGGAAACGGUAGCUAAUACCGCAUACCAUCAGAUGUGCCCAGAUGGGAUUGGCUUGUUGGUGGGGUAACGGCUCACCAAGGCGACGAUCCAUAGCUGGUCGGAGAGGAUGACCGGCCACACUGGACCGAAGACACGGUCCAGACUCCUACGGGAAGCAGCAGUGGGAAAUAUUGCACAAUGGGCGCAAGCCUGAUGCAGCCAUGCCGCGUCUAUGAAGAAGGCCUUCGGGUUGUAAAGUACUUUCAGCGGGGAGGCGUUACCCGCAGAAGAAGCACCGGCUAACUCCGUGCCAGCCGCCGCGUUAAUAC